rnacentral:rRNA from 1 species
UACGGAGGGGGCGAGCGUUAUUCGGAAUUAUUGGGCGUAAAGGGCGCGUAGGCGGCCUUGUAAGUCAAAGGUGAAAUCCCUCGGCUCAACCGAGGAACUGCGUCUGAGACUGCGGGGCUUGAAUCCGGGAGGAGGGAUGCGGAAUUCCAGGUGUAGCGGUGAAAUGCGCAGAUAUCAGGAGGAACACCGGUGGCGAAGGCGGGUCUCUGGGCCGUAACUGACGCUGAGGAGCGAAAGCAUGGGGAGCGAACAGG